ensembl:misc_RNA 7SK 7SK RNA
AGAUGUGAGGGUGAUGGUGGCUGUGACAUCUGUCACCCCACUGAUCACUAGGGUUGAUUCGACUGAUCUGUCUGACUGGGAAGGUGUCUCCUUCUCUGACUGCUCCAGGUGCGUCCUGCCUGAAGCUGUGUUCUAGGUGAAGACAGAUAGCUCUUCACUUGAGGGUAUACGACUAGCUGGGCUCCCCUGUUAGAACCUCCACACCAGCUCUCAAGGUCCACUUGUAUAUGUUUAAUAAAAAUUUUGUUAACAGAUAAAUAAUACGUGGUUAAGAACAGAACCUUUGGUGUUGUUAA